GUGUGUGGUAAAGGAUUAUCAGAGAUAACUGUAGUGACUUAAGGGAAUGUGUUUGAUAAGUACUGUAUGUGUGUGUGUCCUUCCCUCCAGAGCUCCUCACACAGUGCGUCCCACCUCAAACCUCCCAGUUCAAACUGAGGACCAGUUUUCUCCAGAAGAGAAGGAGAAACGGUGAGAAACACAAAAAGUGCAUCCCAAAAUGCAUCCCUAUUCCCUUUAUAGAGGUCUACUUUUGACCAGGGCCCUAUACUGUAUAGGGCCCUACAUAGGGAAUAGGGUGCCAUUUCAGAUGCAGCCUGCAAAACUCUUAUUUUACCUCAGGAAAUAUAUCUUUCUUUCUUUCUCUCUUUCACUCUUUCACUCUUUCUUUCUGUCUCUCUCUCGUUCUCUCUUUCUUUCUCUCUCGCUCUCUCCCUUUCUUUCUUUCUUUCUUUCUUUCUUUCUUUCUUUCUUUCUUUCUUUCUUUCUUUCUUUCUUUCUUUCUUUCUUUCUUUCUUUCUUUCUUUCUUUCUUUCCCUCUUUCACUCUCCAUCUCUUUCAUUCUCUCCAUCUCUCUCUCCAUCUCUCUAUUCCUCUGUUUGUGUCUUAUCACCUGUUCUCCUGUUCACCUGACAGUUGUACUGACAAACCACCAGAAACCUCCUUGACCACAGAUGUUACAUCUUUUGUGGCUAAAAGGGUGGUGAUCACAGACAAUGACGACUCUGUCUUCACUGAGACUCCCUCUGUCCCCAAAGAACCAGCUGCACUAUCUGUGAAAGGCGUCCCUCCUGUAUCUGUGAAAGAUGUCUCUCCUGUAUCUGUGAAAGACGUCCCUCCUGUGUCUGUGAAAGAUGUCUCUCCUGUAUCUGUGAAAGACAUCUCUGCUGUUUCUGUGAAAGACGUCUCUCCUGUAUCUGUGAAAGACGUCUCUCCUGUAUGUGUGAAAGAUGUCUCUCCUGUAUGUGUGAAAGAUGUCUCUCCUGUAUGUGUGAAAGACGUCUCUCCUGUAUGUGUGAAAGACGUCUCUCCUGUAUCUGUGAAAGGUGUCCCUCCUGUAUGUGUGAAAGGUGUCUCUCCUGUAUCUGUGAAAGACAUCCUCCUUUCAACCCCUGUCAUAGUUGACACCCCAGCAGUGAUUGACCUUUAUGAGGGCAUGAAGCCAGGGCGUACCAAAGUGGCCACUGAGCUGUCCCCAGAGAGUAGUGUCCUGUUGAAAGUGGUCUCCCCAGUGUCCCCUGUCCCAUACAAACCAGUGAAGACAGAUCCUGCCCCAGUGGACACUCUGACAGCCCUGUCUGACACACUCAUCUCCUUCGACACAGGUUCACCCAGGUACAGUAUUGAUUCAUUACUGUAUCUAUUCAUUUGAAUAAGUAUAGAUAGAAACAUUUGGACGUAUUGACCAAACAAUGAUCAGGUAUGUGUCACCACAGUGUGUGUAGUGUUGAGACCAGACCAUUUUAUUUACAUUAUGGGUAGGGCUCUGGGUGAGACUAUUAAAGUUGGUCCAACCCAUUGUCUUUAGAAAACCUCCAUUAGUCAGUUGUACAGUUUGAACCCCAGAUAGCUGUAGUCCAAUAACACAAAGUGUAUCUCCCAUCCCCCAUAGCUCCAGAGUCCCUGACCCAGUAUGGACAGAGACAGCAGAGCCAGAGGACAGGUAGGAAACCACAGAGACACACUUCCUCAUUCACGUCAUAGUGGGUGAUAUGAAACCGGUUACAGUAGGUUACUAAUGACGUGUAUUCAUUAGGGCACACCGUACCAAACCGUAACAAAAUGCUUUGCAAUGAAAACUAGUGUUUAUUGGACACCUUCAGGUUAGUCCUUCCCUGUUUCAGUCGCUUCCGUUUGGUGUCUAGUGAAUACACCCCUGGUGUCAACGGUCAUUCUGUACUUCUACACUGAGUGAACAAAACAUUAGGAACACUUUCCUAAUAACGAGUUGCACCCCCCUCAGAACAGCCUCAAUUCAUUGGGGCUAUGGACUCUACAAGGUGUUGAAAGUGUUCCACAAGGAUGCUGCCCCAUGUUGACUCCAAUGCUUCCCACAGUUGUGUCAAGUUGGCUGGAUGUCUUUUGGGUGGUGAACCAUUCUUGAAUCACGUGUGAAACUGUUAAGUGUGAAAAACCCAGCAGUGUUGCAGUACUCGACACAAACUGGUGGAACCUGGCACUUACUACCAUACUCCGUUCAAAGGCAUUUAAAUAUUGUGUCUUGCCCAUUCGCCCUCUGAAUGGCACAUACAC
rnacentral:lncRNA from 13 species